CGGCGGGCAUGUGGCUUAUUCGACGCAACGCGAAGAACCUUACCAAGGCUUGACAUAUACCGGAAAGCAUUAGAGAUAGUGCCCCCCUUGUGGUCGGUAUACAGGUGGUGCAUGGCUGUCGUCAGCUCGUGUCGUGAGAUGUUGGGUUAAGUCCCGCAACGAGCGCAACCCUUGUCCUGUGUUGCCAGCAUGCCCUUCGGGGUGAUGGGGACUCACAGGAGACCGCCGGGGUCACUCCGGAGGAAGA
rnacentral:rRNA from 1 species